UGGAAUAGCUCAGUUGGUAGAGCGACGCACUCGUAAUGCGUAGGUCGUCAGUUCGAGUCUGAUUUCC
rnacentral:tRNA from 1 species